ACUUAGGUAGUUUAAGUAGAAAAAAUCUUGAUUUGUGGUGUCAGUGAUGUGGAAUUUUCACCCUAGGUC
rnacentral:tRNA from 1 species